UGUAGACUCAGGCCUGUCCCUAACCCUUU
rnacentral:piRNA from 1 species